GACAGAGGUGCCAAGCGUUAGGCGGAAUCACUGGGCUUAAAGCGUGUGUAGGCGGAUCGUUAAGUACCUUGUGAAAUCCCACGGCUUAACCGUGGAACUGCUCGGUAUACUGGCGGUCUUGAGCAACCUAGGGGCGAGCGGAACAAAUGGUGGAGCGGUGAAAUGCGUAGAUAUCGGAAAGAACACCAACGGCGAAAGCACUCUGCUGGGCCGACACUGACACUGAGAGACGAAAGCUAGGGGAGCGAAUGGG
rnacentral:rRNA from 1 species